CUCAGAGGGGUUUUCCUGAAUAGAGCCUAAUUUCUCUUUGCUUCAUGGGACUGAGGCAAAGGUUUGUGAAGGUCUGAGACUUGGGGACUAAUUCUGCAUCCCUUGAUGUGUGUAAUCAGCUGGUGGGUAAAUUGUCUGGGUGAAUAAGUGGGACUGAGGGGCAUGGUGGCAUCUCUCUUGAUUUUGUGUAAAACUUGUCCAGUUCUUGGUGUGUCUUAGUUGUGUUUCGAGGUCACCUUAAUGAAAUCUUUUCUGUGAGGCCAAGAGAGGGACUCUUCUUCAAAUUUUGUUUUGCUAGAAACUAGCUAGAAACUAGUAAAAGAAGCUGCUAUUUAACAGGGAUGUUUUGAGGCUGCUGCCCUCUCCCAGCAGAAUGCCCAUGUUUGGGGAUAUUUUAUGCCUGAGUCUAUCAGCUGAUAAAAGUUCCCCCAAAGUAAGAUAUAAAAAAUUCAGGUUGAACACAAGUUCAGGAGGAGUUAUGAGACAUGCUGAGCCUACGUCAGAAAAUUCCUGUGCUCAUUUCUCCCCCUGGGCCUGGCCCUGUUGGCCCUGCCAGGCAGGAGCCCUCCCUGCCCUGAACAGGUUUUCUGUGCCCAGAACCAGCACAACAGACAGCUGGGCACCGAGACUCCAGCAAGAAAAAAAGAUGUGAGGCAGAUCACUGAUAAAACAAUCCCAGCGUGUCUGCCGUAGAUUCUCUUGGAAAGAGGUGUCCUGCCCUUGGGUGUGAACCAGAAGUGAGUUUCCAGGUGGAAUCCAGCAGUGAGUUUCUAGUGGGUUUUGGAAUCUCCUGCCCGCAGAUUGCACGGGAGGUGCAAAGGAAUUCUGUGGUGAACAAGGCAGCUCUGUGCAGUUUUGUGAGCCACAUUUGUCAGUUCCGUAAAGAAAGUGCACAUGAAAAUGUGUAAAGCAAGGGUGGUGUUUUCUCCCUGUGCUUUCUGUGUUGGCUCUAAGAGAAAUACAGAACACCAGCAGAAGCAUGGAACUGUAACCUCGGGAAUCAUUUGGGAAUGAUACUGAAGAAAUCCUUCUCUAAGCAUCUUCUGAAAAGCAGUGAAAUCCCAGAGUCAUCAGUAAUGCCACAUGUUACAGAACUUGUGGAAUUUGACGUUUUUUAAGGAGGCUUCCGUUUGGUUUUUCACAUGACUGAAAUGACACAGUGGCACCCGUGCCAUUGACUCUACCAGAGGUCUCAUGCCACGGAAUCACAGAGAUGUUUUCAAAAACCUUAUUUCAAAUUCUCAGCCCUUAUCACUGCCCCCAGCUGCUCAAAAUGCAAAUCUGUUUCCUUCUGAAGGUAGAGCACAUCCCCGUGAAGCCAAGUAGGCACCUCCAGGGACUUGUUUCCAUAACAACCUCCCGGACUGUUUCUCUCUGUGCUGUGACUGUGGCUACAAGCCAAAGCACUCGAUGGAUAUUUUGUGUUCAGAUAUCAGCACCUUAUCUUUACAGAUGUUUCUUUGCCUAUCGGAGCUGAUCCCAUCACCUUGUAUCGUGUACAACUGCCCUGUCCAACUUCAGGUGGGCAGUCUCCAGCCUUUGAAAGAAGGGAGUGCAAACCUGGAGAUGGGAAGAGAUUUUAUUUGUGUGUCCUUGCAGACACAGAGCUGGAGAGUGUGUGAAGGACAAUCUGAGCACUCAGCCAGGAAACCAAGGGGCAACCAGCCUGUGAAUGUAGAGUCAUCUGGGUGCCUGGUGACAAGGAAUACAAGAAUACAAGCUAAAGCAUUACAUUAAAGACCCAGAAAUUCCUCUUGCAGCAAUCUCACUAGAAAAUAGUUUCGCAGUGGAAGAGACUAUUGCUCCUUCCAGAUCCUGUGGCUGGUUUGUGAUUGUUGGUUCUCCUGAUAAUUUUCCCAUGGCAUUUGCACCAAAGCAGGACAGGGCAAAAAUCAUCUCCUUGGAGGUGGGGAAGGAAGGAAAGAAAGAAUUUUACUGAGGACACCAUUUUUUUUAUCUGCACAAAUGACUGGAAGCAUGAAAAGCGUGAAGACCCGUUCUGUGAUGUUUUGCUGGUGGAUUCCUGCUCUUACCUCCAAGAUUAAAUUCCUGUUCCGUUCCUUCUAGGAAAAUGUUGGAAUUCUGGAUUUUUGAGUAAUUUUUGAUUUGGGCCUUUUGAUCCAGCUUUCGUGGAUAAAAAUUUACUGCUACAGCAGCUGUGUGGGUGAAGGUGACUGCACUUGCUCUUCUCCCCUGGGUCCUCUCACUCAAAGGUUCCCUAUGAGAUAAAGAAGAACGAGUGUAAAGAAGAUUCAGAGCAGCAAGAAACAGGGUAAGAACUGAAGUGUCUUCCAUAUGGUGAUGGAAAGAUCAGCAUCAACCCUAAAAGCAAAGGAACAAACAGCUCCAGCAUCUGCUGCUAUAGCAGAAAUAGGUCCUGCUUACAUCAGGGAAAGAUCUGCAGAUUGCAGCAGGAGUCAACCACAGCUUUCCCAAAAGCUCUCAUCUGACUCAAGUCCAACUUGAUGGCAUCCAUUUUCAGAAAGCAGAUGCUGCCCUCUUUUACACUGGUGCAAUUCAGGAAUAACUCCACUGACGUCAGUGAAGUGACUCCAAAUUUAUCCCC